AAAGAGAAAUUGAAGAAAGAAAUAAAGAAAAGAAAAAGGGUGUUGGAAUAGGAUCAACACAGAAACUCUCUCUUCCACCCUCUCGGUAAUCUAUCUACCGCCGUCACCAAGAUAGCUCCAGCAAAUCCACCAUGAUGCAACUAAGCCACUCUGAUAACCCCAAGUCCUAAUUUUCUUUAGCUCUUCUAAUUUCAGAAUUUGAGUAGUCAAACCCACUUCCCAAAUUGUUGAAAUUAGAGGCAAACCAGAUUCAAGUGGAAAGACAAGAUCUUGGAGGAAACGAAUAAUUUAAAAGGAGUUUUAUUGACAUGAACAGAGUAUAGUAGUGAGGAGUCUCGCUAGUUGGGCAGCUGCACGUCACUGCGCGUGUCUAGUCACUAUCUCUUUUGUCGAUAAAGUUACAGUGGUAGAAGUGGCAUGCUACUUGAGGAUUUAUAGACGUGUAUAGUUGGAUAGAUUUUUGUCGUAUCAUAUUGAUAAUUAUGUAUUAGUGUGUA